rnacentral:rRNA from 1 species
UGCUUAUUGGUUGCUAGUAGCCGGGGUAGUACGAUGGAUGCGAACUUGAUCCGGGUUUAUUGGGGUGUAAGGGUGCGUAGGCGUGCUGAUAAGUCAGUGGUGAAAUCCUAUCGCUUAACGAUAGACGGGCCAUUGAUACGGUAGGGCGUGAGUACAGAUGCCGUUGGCGGAAUGUGUCAUGUAGCGGUGAAAUGCAUAGAUAUGACACAGAACACCGAUUGCGAAGGCAGCUGACGAAACUGUAACUGACGCUGAUGCACGAAAGCGUGGGGAUCAAACAGGAUUAGAUACCCUAGUAGUC